CCACCUUGGGAGCCCCGGGCUACUCUCUCACAGCCCUUGUUGCCCUGUGAUCUGUAGGUCUUGGGGACGCAUAGUUAAGGUGCCAGGACAUCCUGGAAGCUGGGAAAUGAUUUCUUCCAGACCAUGGCUGGAGAAGGAAAGAAGGUGUGUUUUGCCUGAUUCAGGGACUAUAGAGAGAACCAAGUUCUGCAGGCCUGUCACCUAAGUCUCAGCUGGGUGUCACAAACUCUGAACUGGAUUCCAAGGCUUUCAUGAAUGCACUUAUGUUUGCUGUGGCAGCUGCAUUAUGUCGUGGGGGAUGUGGAUGCAGAACCUCACAUUCUGUCGUCUUGCUUAUGUUACUCUCCUUUAUGUUUCACUUUCUCAAAUGAAUGUCAAGCAGGUGAUUUUCAGAUUCAAAAGUUCUAAAAUAAAUUGCUCAAAUUUACACAUUAUGUAAGCUGUUAAUAAAAUUUCUUGUAGGUGCUACAUAUUUAUUAAAAUUUUUGGUUGUAAUUUUAAGCUCACUGUAGGCAGAAAGGAAUCAUUAAGAUUUCUAUUCUUUUUUAGUCUGUAUCUAAAUGACCGUAUAUUUUAAUUCCAAGUAUUUACUUUAUACUUCAGUAAUGCUCAUUGUAUUUUGCAAAAUUUAUAUUGUUCUUUUAUUUGAAAAUAUAAGGCUUUUUUUUAGCUCCUGAAAGCUAUAUUAUAGUCAUAUAGUUUUAUUAUAGUAUUUGAUAAGAAGAGCAGCAACAUAUUGAGAACAGAAUAAAAUUCUGCUGUCUUUU
rnacentral:lncRNA from 1 species